UACAGAGGGUGCGAGCGUUGUUCGGAAUUACUGGGCGUAAAGCGCGCGCAGGCGGCCUUUUAAGUCUCGUGGUGAAAUGCCGGGGCUCAACCCCGUGCCCGCCGGAGAUACUGGGAGACUGGAGACAUGUAGAGGCAAGCGGAAUUCCGGGUGUAGCGGUGGAAUGCGUAGAGAUCCGGAAGAACACCGGUGGCGAAGGCGGCUAUCUGGACAGAGUCUGACGCUGAGGCGCGAAAGCUAGGGGAGCAAACAGG
rnacentral:rRNA from 1 species